CUUUUUAUUCGUUUUUUUUACCAUUUAAAAUUCGGGUUUCUUGUCUUUAGUCAUUCAAAAAGUUUUUAUUUUUACAUUUUAAUCAACGUUCGCAUUUCACAACAAUUAAAAACCGUCUCACUUUCGUUUUUACGACGCAUAGUUUUUUUUACCGUAACGAUCACGUCAAAAAAGAGAAGGCCUAAUCGCUUUUUUUUAAAAAAAAGGCGUCUUUUCUUAUUAAUCAUUUCAAUCGAAAUUUCGGCAGGGAGGAUACUUUGAAGUACCUCAUGUCAGAUUCCGAAGGGACUUUUUAUUUUUUUAUUAUUUUUUUUAUUUUUAUUUUAUUAUUAUUUUUUUAUUUGUCUUUUUUAGUUUGUUUAUUAUUGUUUUAUUUUAUUAUUUUUAUUUUUUUAUAAAAAAAAAACACAACAAAGAAAAGAAGAAGACAUACGUCUUCCCUUUCUUCUUUUUCUUUUGCUUUUCUUUUUCUUUUUCUUUUUAUUCAUUCUUUUUAUUUUUAUUUAUUUAUUUAUUUGUUAAGCCUUUGUCCCCAAGUCUCAGCUGCAGGGGCAUUUUGGUUUUUGUUUUGUACCAGAGCCAACCCUAGUUUGUCACUAUAAAAACCCUGUCAAUCAUUGGGAAAUGGGCCAGAAGUCACUGUUCACGUCAAAAAAUCAGCAGCAAUUCACAAACACUCAUUUUCUACUUUUCCAACCCUUUUUCAGAUCAAACACUAAAAAUUACAAAGAAAUAACAUGAACACAUGAAGAACAUUCAUAUAUUCAUCAAAAUCCAGCAAUACCAAAACUUUACUAAAACCUCAAAACUAUUCAUAUAACCACACAAAUCACAAACAAGCAACCACAACACAACCGGACCGGAGCAACAACAACACAACCGGACCGGAGCAACAACAACACAACCGAACCAGAACAGCAAGCAGGCCGAACCGGAGCAGAAAGCGGAACCGGACCGUAAGGGAGCAGAAACGAACCGGAAGGAAAGAAGGGGACCGGAAAAAGAGGUAAAAAUUUCACAUUUUCAUUUGUAGAUCUAGGAUUUUUGGUGUAUGGUUUCGAAAUUUUGAGCUUGGAUUCGAGUAGAGGAGGGGAAGAGGAGUAUUUUGAUGUAAAAUUUUUUCGAGAAAAGCAAAAAAAAACUCCGGCGCGGCGGCGCUCCGGCCGGCCACCACGCCGGAGUUGCUCCGGCCGCCCCUCCCCCACCUUCUUCUCCGGCGAGAUUCCUAGAGAGAAGUGGGAGCUUCUCUCUCUAGGUUUUUAGAAAGAGGUUUUUUUUGUGAUUUGUGUUAUGUUUUUUUGUUAAAACUCUUUUAUAGUGUUUCUUUUUUUGGUUUGAUCUUGUGCACAUGCGCAUACUGCAAUUCAGUGCUCCAUCGCGUUACACCCCUUGGAUCUGGAUCAUUCCUUGAUCUGAGGGCUCCUGUGUAUCUUGAUUUUGGAUCAAGUGGAUUUUCUUUCUGCGUGAGUAUGGUGUGGUUUCUGUUUGGACCAUCAGAUCGUUGAUCUGACGGUCACUGUGUUUUCAGUAUAAUCCCUUUGUUUCUAUGUUGUUUUUGUGACCGUUGGAUCUUAGAUCCUAUGGCUAUGAUGAAUCCAGGGGUUUGAACUUGGACCAUUGAUUUAAUCCAAUGAUCCAGAAUUAAUCCUGCUGAGCCAUUUGUUUAUUAUUUUUAUUUGUUAUUGUUUUUACUUUUUAAAUGCUGUUUUUUAUUCUCUUUGACAUUUUUACGUUUAGAAAAAAUUCCAAAAAAUGUUUUUCUCACUAUUUUUAAUUUUCUAUCAUUGUUAAAAAUCCAUCCUUUUUUUUCCCUUUUAAUUUGUUUUUUUUUUUUUUUUUUAUUAUUAUUUCUUAUAUGAUGAUCUUAAAUUUUUUAUUAUCUUAAUUCUUGCUUAUUAUUUCUUAUGUCUCAUUCAUCAUAAUAUUCCUUGUGAUUACUAACCAUUUAAUUUUUGUCUUAAAUCAUAGCAUGCAUAUUCAAUUUUCUCAUCAUUUUAUUUUGUCAUUGACUUAGUAUGUAUAAAUAGGGAAUUGAUGUAAUUUUAUUUCUUGCAUUUUAUUUUGGCAUAAAGGCCUUAGGGUUGUAUUUAGGAAUUGAUGUAAUAAUGUAGGUAACACAAGCACCGACACAUGCACCGACACUACCACAUUUUAUUUACCGCUUUCCGUUAGUUUUUUACGACGUUACGUUAGUUUUCACCGUUAGUUUAGAAAAAUCAUUUUUCACAAAAAAAAUCAAAUAUGUCAAAUUCAAAAAAUAUUUUUUCUUAGCAACAUUUUCCCUUUAUUUUCUUAAUCAAAUUUUUAAUCAAUUUUAAUUCAACUUCAAUCAUUUUCAAAAUUUAAAAUCAAUCAACCUCACUCAUUUCUUUUAUCUCAUGCCUUGAGGCCUCUUUCUCUUCUUAAAACCAUUUUCAAAAAUCUUAAAAUCAACCUAACCCACCAAAGAAAUUUUUGAGUGGAACUACGUCGGUUUUGAUCCCUUUCCCAAAAAGGGUACGUAGGCAGAGGACUCGUCCUUCCAAAUCAAAUAAAAAUAACCAAAAACAUACUUCUUCUCCCUCCAUUCUUUCACUUAGACAUUAGGCAAUAAUUUUUCAAAUAAACAAGUAGUUUAGCACAAGAUAAUCUAGGUAAGAGGUUCCUAUGGAAUACCAUAGUCGUUUAGGGUGCUUAACACCUUCCCUAUUCGAAACCAACCCCCGAAUCCAAAGUCUCGAUAAGGGUUUUUACUCAUUUUUUCCCUUCCCAAGAAUAAAAAUCGAGAGUUCAAAGAUUGACGAUUCAAAUCAAUUAAUGGUUUGAUAUCCGAAAAUCGCGAGCACAGAAAUGGCGACUUCACUGGGGAUCUUAGAUCCUACGCGGGUUAAACCCACCUUACUUUCUUUAUUUUAUGCUUUAUUACUUGUUUAUACUUUGUAAAUAUUUGCUUACAUGUUUACCUUAUUACGUGAGGGGUGAGAAAAUAAGCUCUACACCCGAGCUUGAGGGAAAUAUAAGAUAGGAGUGGUAGACUCAUAGUGGCAUACCGAGAGUAUACUCGUGUCUUGUCACACGUGAGAUAACCACACUUAGCAAAGGAGCUUGAAGUAAUGUAUGUCGACGUGUGUUUUCACGUUUUAGACUUUAUUACUCUUAAGUUUCCAAUGAAGCUAAGAACCUUUUAGUAACCCUUAACCCAUCUUGGCCUUUUAGGAUGUAGUGCGGUGGCUAACCGAGUGUUUUUUCGGAAUUAGUCGACACGCGAUACUACACUCAAAUGAGACUUUCCUACGAACGUUGUUGGACCGGGUGUUUUCUCGGUAUCCGAUAAUAUUCGGAAGUGGUCAAUGACUUUGGGAACCUCGGUAGAACCCUUGUUACAAGUGCAAUUUAAACCAUAGUCCUUACCAAAUGGCGUUGUUACGUGGAACUUACCCUCACCUUGUAUUCUAUGUACUUGAGCAUUAUCAUACAUACAUGCAUUCAUUCAUAAACAUAUUUUCUCAUCCAUUAAAAUAUUGAAGGACUUAUAUAGGUUUUUUAUAAACAUCAUAGGUUAUGGAGGUUGUUGGAAGGAGGACCCACGGGUAUAAAUUCAAGGCACCGGAUACAGAGAGUUUAGAGGGUUUGAGGGGUUUGACGAAGAUGUUGAAAAAUCCGGGUCAUUUUCAGGAGCGGUACGGUAAUUUACUCGAUAUUCUCAAGACAAAAGUGGAUGUAAUGCUUCUCAAUACUUUGGUCCAGUUCUAUGAUCCGAUUUACCAUGGCUUCACAUUCCCAGACUUUCAGCUCUUCCCAACUCUAGAGGAGUAUUCCCAUUGGGUUGGUUUACCGGUGCUCGAUGAAGUACCCUUUCAUGCCUUUGGGCCCAUUCCUAAAAUCCCUACCAUCGCAAAAGCCCUUCACCUUGAAGUAGCCGACAUAAAAGACAAGUUCACAACCAAAGACGGUCUCCCAUGCUUACCUUACAACUUCCUUCACCAAAAGGCCACCACUUGUUUCGAGAAAUCCAAAACCGAUGAUUUUGAGUCUAUCCUUGCCCUGCUUAUCUAUGGCAUAGUCCUCUUCCCGAAAGUUGACAAGUUUGUUGACAUGAAUGCCAUACGGAUCUUCUUAACCCAAAACCCGGUUCCUGUUUUACUCGCUGACACGUAUGUCGCUAUUCAUGAUCGCACUAGUCAUGGAAAGGGGACCAUCGUCUGUUGUACACCUUUACUCCACCGCUGGAUUACUUCACACUUACCCCGUCCCAGUAUUAGACCAGAACCCAUCCCUUGGUCCCAAAAGCUCAUGACUUGGACCCCAAAGGACAUAAUCUGGUUCAACCCAUCUUGUGGCCCAGAGUUUAUUAUUGACAGUUGUGGUGACUUCAACAAUGUACCUCUUCUUGGUACGCAGGGAGGAAUUAGCUACAGCCCAAUUCUUGCGAGACGACAGUUUGGGUAUUAUAUGGAGAUGAAGCCUGUGUACCUCAUCCUAGAUAGGGAUUUCUUCCUCUACAAAAAAGAUGAUGCAAAUCAAAGAGUGCAGUUCGAGAAAGCUUGGCAUUCCAUCGUCAAGAAAGAUAAGAAUCAGUUAGGAAAGAGAUCGGUUAUCGCCCAUGAAGUUUAUGUCCAAUGGGUUAUUGAUCGAGCCAAUAAAUUGAAGAUGCCAUACCCACGACAAAGGAUCGCAACAUCAACCGUCCCAGCUAUACCUUUACCUUUACCUCCCGAGUCCUUAGAAGGGUAUCAAAAGCAGUUGGAUAUCGAAAGGCGUGAGAAGUCCAUGUGGGAAAUGAAGUACCGCAAGAAGGAUCAGGAGUAUGAGACUGUGAUGGCCUUACUAGAGCAAGAAGCCUAUGAUAGCCACAAGAAAGAUGUGAUAAUCGCCCAGCUGAAAAAGAGUAUCAAGGAGAAAGAUGCCGCGCUGGAUCAAAUUCCCGGGCGGAAGAAGAAACGCAUGGAUCUCUUUGAUGGGCCGCAUUCUGAUUUUGAGGAGUAGCUUGGUUCAGAGGCUUGAGAGUCUUUCAGUUUGUUUUUGAUGUUUUUGUGUAGUUACGGAGUCUAUCCCUUGGCUCAUUUUGUUGAAAGGGAAUUAUCUUGUUUUAUUUUGAAAGUUUAUCCCUUGGCUUUGUUGUUAGAAAGGGAAUUAUCUUGUUUUACUUUGAAAGUUUAUCCCUUGGCUUUGUUGUUAGAAAGGGAAUUAUCUUGUAAUCAACUUUGUUUUUUAUGAUUUGUUUAGGUUGGUAUGUUUACAAAACUGCUUCUAUAGGUCCUUCAAUAAAAAAAUAUAUAUAUAUAAAAAUUGCAUAUUUUUGGCAUAUAGCAUAUCAUGCAUCAUAUUGCAUUCAUAAAAAGUAUCAAAAACCAAGUCUCAUGCUCUCCUCAUUUCUGCCUCAGAAAAGAAAAGUGGCCCGGCGUAUUCAGUACAAACCCGCUCGCAUUCACAACACUCAAGCUCAUAUCAAGAAAAGGAUGUUAGCGGCAGAACAGGAAAACGCUCAGCUCAGAGAGGAACUGGUUAACCUCAAGGGGGAGAUGGAAAGAAUGGCACUUAUGAUGGAAACUAUGAUGGCUGAGAGAGAGCAAGCAGCAAUCUCCAAUUCAACUCCUGUUGUGGUCGUCACAGCUGCACCUGAGGGUCCCCCGCAACCAUCUCCGACUACUACUACAACUAUCGGCCUCACCCAGCCUCUGAUGACUGAUUUUUCUUCUGGUAAUAUGGCAACUAUGGGCAACUCAGGCUUCCGUCCUCUUGGCCCCCAGGGUCCCUUUGCUACUCCUCAGUAUUCCAUGCCUUCAGGCUACCCUUGGGGCAUGCCGAUUGCAACCAACGGGGGUUUUGGUCCAGGCGCUACUGAAAUGCCUUUCGCACAGGGUCAACAGACUUCGGCACAUUUCCAGAUGAGUCAACCGAUUCCUCAAGCUACCAUGACUCAAGCAGGUCCUACUGUGCAUGUUGGGCCACAACAUGAAGAACAGAUUUAUCACUCCGACAGUAUAAUGGGGGAUGAUAAAGCAAUCGAUUGGGAAGAAAGGUUCGGUGCUCUAGAGAAGAAGAUGAGUAAUAUGCGGGGAAAGGAAACAGUCGUCCAAAGCAUAUAUGACCUUUGCUUGGUACCAGAUGUAAACAUACCUCCAAAGUUCAAGAUGCCUGUAUUUGAGAAGUAUCAAGGGGACACAUGUCCACAAAAUCAUCUAACUAUGUAUAUUAGCAAGAUGAUAGCUUACAAGAAUAAUGUUCCCUUACUCAUUCACUGCUUCCAGGAUAGUUUGACUGGUCCGGCACAUACCUGGUUCAUGGGAUUGAAAGGAGUCACUACUUUUGAACAGUUGGCUGAGGCCUUCAUGCAACAGUACAAAUAUAAUACCUAUCUGGCGCCAAGUCGCAAGGAGUUGCAGUCCUUAACCCAGAAAGAUAAAGAAUCGUUCAAAGAAUACGCACAACGCUUCAUUCAAAAAGCUGCUCAGAUUCGUCCUCCCUUGGAUGAGAGGGAACUUUCAGAAUUGUUCUAUGAAACCCUGAGCCCUUGUUAUUCAGAAAAGAUGAUUGUCUGUGCAUCACAGAAGUUCACUGAUUUGGUGGAAACAGGAAUGCGCAUCGAGGAGUGGGCUCGUAAGGGAGCAGCUGUUUCGGGAGGUUCUUCAGGUGGUUCUUCAGGGGUUUCGUCCAAUGGUAAUAAGAAAUUUGGGAAUGGUUACCCAAAGAGGAAUGCCCAAGAGGUUAGCAUGGUGGCUCAUGGAGGACCUCAGCCCGUGUACCCUAAUCACCCCUUUGUUGCCAACAUCACCCCACAAAUGACCGCGCCCCAGAACCCAAACUAUCAAUCACCCAGACCUCAAGGACCUACACCAUACUACCCCCCAUUAUACCAACCACUAUACAACCUACAACAAUUCCCUCAACAACCAUAUUACCCCCAACAACCAUACCAACAAAGACCACAGCAACAACCCCGUCCUCAGGCUCCUUACAAUCAGCAGAAUCAAAGGCAACAAUUUGACCCCUUGCCAAUGACCUAUGGAGCAUUGCUCCCUUCUUUACUUGCACAGAAUCUGGUCCAAACAAUACCACCUCCUCGCAUUCCAGACCCUCUCCCACGCUGGUACCGUCCGGACCUUCAUUGUAUUUACCAUCAAGGGGCACCAGGCCACGAUGUGGAGCGUUGUUUUGCUCUUAAGAAAGAGGUUCAGAAACUGAUAAAUAGUAAAGAGUUAACCUUCACCGACCCUGAUGCUGUAGCUCAGAACAAUCCUCUGCCUACUCAUGGGCCUGCUGUUAAUAUGAUUCAAGAAGAUCAGGAAGAGGCUCGCAUUCUCUCUGUAGGUGAUAUCAAGACUCCUCUGGUACCGAUACAUGUGAAAAUGUGUAAAGCAACUCUCUUCAACCACAAUCAUGAAGCUUGUGACAUAUGUUCGAUGGAUCCUCGUGGAUGUAUACAAGUCCAGAAUGAUAUGCAGGGUCUCCUAAAUAGAAGGGAACUUGUGGUUACAAGGGAACCCGAGAGCAAGGACGUCUGUGUUGUCACUCCGGUAUUCAGAGCCAGGAGGCCGCUGGUGAUAAACCCUAACAGUACAAAGCCUGUUGGUACUCCCUUGGUAAUCUGUGUGCCUAGGCCCACGCCUACUACUGCUCAGAAAGCUGUACCCUAUAAGUACGAAGGCACGAUUCUUGAGCCCGGAAGUGAGACAACUUCACCUGUUGCUGUGGAUAAUAUCGCAGAGAAUAGCCGGAUUUUGAGGAGUGGCCGCAUGUUUCCUACGGUGGGUCCGAAGAGUGUUAGUGUUCCAGUCGAUGAGCCAGUAAAAGAGCAAAACGCCGGUAAAGGUAAAGCUGGGGAGCAAGCCAAAGAGUUUGACUUUGAUGAUGCCGAUGAAGUCUUGAAGCUGAUCAAGAAGAGUGAAUACAGGGUGGUGGACCAGCUGUUACAAACUCCUGCGAAGAUUUCCAUCAUGGCCCUGUUAUCAAGUUCUGGUGCUCAUCGGGAUGCCCUGAGGAAAGUACUAGACCAGGCAUUUGUGGAUUAUGAUGUAACUCUGGGUCAAUUCGAAAGCAUUGUGGGGAAUGUGACCGUGUGUAACAGUCUGACUUUCAGUGAUGAGGAUCUCCCGGCGGAGGGGAAUAAGCAUAAUCAAGCAUUAUUCAUCUCUGUACUUUGCAGAACGGACUCGUUAUCCAACGUCCUGAUAGAUACCGGCUCUGCACUUAAUGUGAUGCCCAAGUCAACUUUCGACCAAUUGGCGUACUCCGAGGCUCCUUUGAGACUUAGCAAGGUGACAGUAAGGGCCUUCGAUGGAACUAGGAGAUCGGUGUAUGGUGAGGUAGAUUUGCCAAUUUCGGUCGGCCCACAUGAAUUUCAGGUUACUUUCCAAGUCAUGGAAAUCCAGGCUUCUUUCAGCUGUUUGCUCGGCAGACCUUGGAUUCAUGACGCUGGGGCUGUGACAUCUACUCUCCAUCAGAAAUUGAAGUUCGUAAGUCGUGGAAAGUUGAUCACUGUGAGUGGCGAAUCGGCCUUUUUAAUCAGCAAUUUGUCUGCUUUCUCUGUUAUCGGUGGUAGUGGUUCAGACGGGCCAUCAUUCCAAGGAUUCUCUGCCGAAGAAAGUGUCGGUAAGAUUGAGACUUGUAUGGCUUCGUUGAAGGAUGCCCGGAGAGUAAUUCAGGAAGGCAAGACCGAAGGCUGGGGUCAGCUAGUGGAGUUGCCAGAAAAUAAGCGUAAAGAGGGAAUUGGUUUCCUUAACAGUAAGCCUGGGAUGUUCGACCCUACCAGAGGUUCUUUCCACAGUGCUGGUUUCAUUCAUGAUUCGCCAGAGACUAAUGCAAUUUUAGAUGAUGCACCUGGAGGAGUGACACCGGUCUUUGUGACGCCUGGAGGAGCUUGCUGCAACUGGAUUGCUGUUGACAUUCCUUCUGUGACACCCCGCUCUAAGUAAUGUGUUUGUCUUGUCUCUUGUUGUUUUUUGUUUUUAAGAAAACUCCUUUCGUUCUGCCCAAGGCGAAAGUGAAAUCAUGUAGGGCUUUGUUUUGAUUCUAGUACUUUUAUUACAAAUAAAAAUCGUCGUUUCUAUCACGGCCUUUAUUACUUUUUAUUUUUUGUUACUUUUUCUGGAAAAAAUGGUAAUACAAAAAUCCAAAAAAAUCAUUCUCUUUUUCUUUUAAAUUUCAAAACCAAAGGUCUGCAUUUACUCAUUAAAAUCAAUCAUGAAUCAUGUGCAGACUGAACAUAAGUGAAUCCGUUGAACACAGUGACCCCAUGCUUUCUCCCAACUUUGAGGUCCCGGUUUACGAGGCUGUGGCAGAGGAGGAUGAGGAGAUCCCGAAUGAGAUCAAAUGGAUGUUGGAACAAGAAAGGAAGACAAUUCAACCUCAUCAGGAGGAGAUAGACAUCAUCAAUCUGGGUACUGAGGAAGACAAGAAAGAAAUCAAGAUUGGGGCAUCGUUGGAUGUAUCUGUCAAGAAAAGAGUAAUUGAGCUUAUCAGAGAAUAUGUUGAUAUAUUCGCAUGGUCAUACAAAGACAUGCCGGGUCUAGACCCUGAGGUCGUUGAACACAGACUGCCUUUGAAGCCUGAGUGUCCUCCGGUAAAGCAGAAAUUGAGAAGAUCUCAUCCUGAUAUGGCCCUCAAGAUCAAAGAGGAAGUACGAAAGCAAAUUGAUGCAGGUUUCCUAGUCACAUCAGAGUAUCCUCAAUGGUUGGCCAACAUAGUGCCUGUUCCAAAGAAAGAUGGCAAAGUCAGAAUGUGUGUUGAUUAUCGGGACUUGAACAAGGCUAGUCCGAAGGAUAAUUUUCCUUUACCUCACAUUGAUGUAUUGGUUGAUAAUACUGCUAAGUGCAAGGUUUUCUCCUUCAUGGACGGUUUCUCCGGCUACAAUCAGAUCAGGAUGGCUCCUGAGGAUAGAUAAAAGACGUCUUUCAUCACGCCCUGGGGUGCUUUCUGCUAUGUGGUGAUGCCAUUUGGUUUGAUAAAUGCUGGUGCCACUUACCAAAGGGGUAUGACCAAAAUCUUUCAUGAUAUGAUUCACAAAGAAAUUGAGGUCUACGUAGAUGAUAUGAUUGUUAAGUCUGGCACAGAAGAAGAACAUGUUGAGUAUUUGUUGAAGAUGUUUCAGCGGUUGAGAAAGUACAAGCUCCGGUUGAAUCCUAACAAAUGUACUUUCGGUGUCAGAUCUGGUAAACUCCUAGGCUUUAUCGUCAGUCAAAAGGGUAUUGAAGUUGAUCCCGACAAGGUCAGAGCCAUCAGAGAAAUGCCUGUUCCAAAGACAGAGAAGCAAGUCAGAGGUUUUCUUGGUAGACUCAAUUAUAUCUCCAGAUUUAUCUCUCACAUGACCGCCACGUGUGGACCAAUUUUCAAGUUACUCCGCAAGGAUCAAGGGGUGAAGUGGAAUGAUGAUUGUCAGAAGGCUUUUGAUCAAAUCAAAGAAUAUCUGUUAGAACCUCCAAUUCUUGUUCCUCCAGUUGACGGAAGACCUUUGAUCAUGUAUUUAACAGUACUAGAAGAUUCCAUGGGCUGUGUUUUGGGUCAACAAGACGAAACCGGAAAGAAAGAGCACGCUAUCUACUAUUUGAGUAAGAAGUUCACUGAUUGUGAGUCCCGAUAUUCUGUACUUGAGAAAACUUGUUGUGCUUUAACUUGGGCUGCCAAGCGUCUCCGUCAUUAUAUGAUUAAUCAUACAACUUGGUUGAUAUCCAAGAUGGAUCCUAUCAAGUACAUAUUUGAGAAGCCAGCUUUAACUGGAAGGAUUGCUCGCUGGCAGAUGUUAUUGUCCGAGUAUGAUAUCGAGUAUCGCACUCAGAAAGCAGUCAAAGGUAGCAUCUUGGCAGAACAUUUGGCUCAUCAACCAAUCGAAGACUAUCAACCAAUCAAAUUCGACUUCCCAGAUGAAGAGGUUAUGUAUCUAAAAGCAAAAGAUUGUGACGAACCAGUGUUCGGUGAAGGUCCUGAUCCUGAAUCCGAAUGGGGUUUGAUAUUUGAUGGAGCCGUUAAUGUCUAUGGUAGUGGAAUUGGUGCAGUUCUCAUUACCCCUAAGGGUACUCACAUCCCUUUUACUGCAAGGAUUCGAUUUGAUUGUACAAACAACAUCGCAGAAUAUGAAGCUUGCAUCAUGGGUAUCGAAGAAGCCAUCGACUUGAGGAUCAAGAAAAUUGUCAUCUAUGGAGAUUCAGCUCUCGUGAUUAACCAGAUCAAAGGAGAAUGGGAAACUCGCCAUCCUGGUUUGAUUCCCUACAGAGAUUAUGCGAGACGAUUGCUGACUUUCUUCAACAAAGUAGAGUUACACCAUGUGCCCCGUGAUGAGAAUCAAAUGGCGGAUGCUUUAGCUACUCUAUCCUCAAUGAUCAAUGUGAACGGUCACAAUACUGUGCCAGUAAUCAAUGUCCAAUUUCUCGACCGACCUGCUUAUGUGUUUGUAGCUGAAGCAAUUGAUGAUGACAAGCCAUGGUAUCAUGAUAUCCAAGUUUUUCUUCAAACUCAAAAGUACCCACCUGGGGCAUCCAACAAGGACAAGAAAACAUUGAGAAAAUUGUCAAGCCGUUUCUUCCUUAACGAAGACGUUUUGUAUAAAAGGAACUUUGAUAGGGUCCUACUUAGAUGUGUGGAUAAGCAUGAAGCAGAAAAAUUGAUGUGCGAGAUUCAUGAAGGCUCUUUCGGAACUCACUCAUGUGGGCACGCCAUGGCGAAGAAGAUAUUGAGGGCUGGGUACUACUGGAUAACAAUGCACGCUGAUUGCUACAAUCAUGCCAAGAGAUGCCACAAAUGUCAAAUCUAUGCUGACAAGAUUCAUAUACCACCAUCUAUGCUCAAUGUCAUCUCUUCCCCGUGGCCCUUCUCUAUGUGGGGCAUUGACAUGAUUGGUCGGAUUGAACCAAAGGCUUCCAAUGGGCAUCGCUUCAUAUUAGUGGCUAUCGAUUAUUUCACCAAGUGGGUUGAAGCAGCAUCUUACGCCAAUGUGACCAAGCAGGUAGUGGUCAGAUUUAUCAAGAACAACCUCAUCAGCCGCUACGGUGUUCCCAACAGAAUCAUCACAGACAAUGGCACAAAUCUGAAUAACAACAUGAUGAAAGAGUUGUGCGAUGACUUCAAGAUUCAACAUCACAAUUCUUCUCCUUACAGACCACAGAUGAAUGGGGCAGUUGAAGCUGCAAACAAGAACAUCAAGAAGAUCAUACAGAAGAUGGUAGUUACUUAUAAGGACUGGCAUGAAAUGUUACCCUACGCUUUGCAUGGAUACCGUACCUCAGUGCGAACCUCGACAGGGGCAACCCCUUUCUCUUUGGUAUAUGGUAUGGAGGCUGUACUACCUGUAGAGGUUGAGAUCCCUUCUUUAAGAGUCUUGAUGGAAGCUGAAUUGUCUGAAGUUGAAUGGUGCCAGAGCAGGUACGACCAGUUGAAUUUGAUUGAGGAAAAACGUAUGGCUGCUUUGUGUCAUGGACAGUUAUAUCAGUCAAGGAUGAAACAAGCAUUCGAUAAAGGAGUCCAUCCCCGCGAAUUCAAGGAAGGAGAUCUUGUGCUCAAAUGUAUCAAAUCCUUUCAACCAGAUCCUAGGGGCAAAUGGACGCCAAACUAUGAAGGUCCCUAUGUGGUGAAGAGAGCUUUCUCUGGUGGUGCUUUAAUUCUUACAAAUAUGGAUGGAGAGGAGUUACCUCGUCCUGUGAAUUCUGAUGCAGUCAAGAAAUACUUUGUCUAAAUAUAUAAAAGAACAGCUCGGUAGGUCGAAAACCUGAAAGGGCGGCUUAAACCAAAAAUGAGCGUCUCGGUGGAUCGAAAACCCGAAAGGGCGGUCCAGGCAAAAAUUAGAGACAAAAAAAAAAAAAAAAAAAAAAAGGGGAAAUUAUCCUGAUAGAUCGAAAACCCGCAAGGGCGAUCUAUGCAAAAAUUAAGGAUCGAGACAAGUAACUGCAUCAGAUGAAACACCACUCGCCCGAGAUACCUUGACUGUCAGAAGUUCUCUAAUGUUGAAGCAUCCAAACUGUGGAAUUCAAAGUGGUUAGAAGUAUAGCGGUUAUUGUGUUCAAUGUGCCUAUCCCAUAUAAUUACCAUAUUCCAACUCUUUGUAAUCUGUGGUGCCAUGCCUUUAGCCGGUCACCUUUUCUAUUAAAUCAAUUUGAGCAUGUGCCCCUUUGUUGGAAUUCUUGUUUAUUCUAUGUGCAAAAAAUCUUUCUUUCGUUUUUAGUAUUAGUAUUUGAAGCAAAAAUUUUGAAAACUUUUCUAAAGAUUUUAUGUUUUCUUUCCAAAAAAAAAAAAAAAAAUGACAAACAUAUUAUCUUUAAAAACAUGUAUCACAUAAGUAUGUGUCAACAGUUGGUCCGAAACAAGCAGGUUCAACAAAGAAGAAAUAGUCAUUGCAAAAAAAAAAAAAAAAAAAAAAAAAAGAGGCGCCCUGGUGGAUCGAAAACCCGAAAGGGCGGUCCAGGUAAAAAUUAGGGGCAUACAAAAGAGAAAAAGAAAAAUGUCUCCCCGGUGGAUUGAAAAUCCGAAAGGACGAUCCAGGCAAAAGUUAGGGAUUUCAAAUAAAUACAAAAAGCAAUGACUAUUUAGACAAGACAGUACGGUGUUGCAUUGAUGAAAUGGCGACUUCUACCACAGUUUGUGAAGACUUACCUCAGCAGUAUGUUUAAGGGCUGUACCCUAACAAUGUUUGAUUCAUUCCCCGUGACUUUAUCCCCAUUGAAGGCUUUGAGUGUUCGUACAGUGAUGCCGGGCCAUUCUCCUCGUAGACCUGCCCAGUCCUGUCUCAACAAUCUUACCAUUACACCAUCAUAUGAGUCUCAUACAUAUUCAUUCAUUCAUGCAUACAUAGCACGCAUAUAAACACCAUCCAUACAUAGUUUCUUUUUUUUACCCAAUAUUUUGCUUCAUUAUCCUCAAAAUGGGUCUAAACUCAGGUAUGUUAUAAAACCAAUCAUGUUUCAAAGUGGCAGGUCUCGCCAGUAACCAGUCUAUACAGUUGCCCCAUCGUCUUCAGACAAUUUCAUUUUUCCCCUCAGGUGUAUCUUUGUCAAGUUAAUCCCCACUCAUAUCAAGCUUUACAAUGUCUUUACUUUAGCCACUCGUCGGCCCAUCAUGUCUUUAAUUUCGCCACUCGUCGGCCCGUCAUGUCUUUACUUUAGCCACUCGUCGGCCCGUCUUGUCUUUGCUUUAGCCACUCGUCGGCCCGUCAUGUCUUUACUUUAGCCGCUCGUCGGCCUGUCUUGUCUUUACUUUAGCCACUCGUCGGCCCAUCAUGUCUUUAAUUUCGCCACUCGUCGGCCCGUCAUGUCUUUACUUUAGCCACUCGUCGGCCCGUCUUGUCUUUACUUUAGCCACUCGUCGGCCCGUCAUGUCUUUACUUUAGCCGCUCGUCGGCCUGUCUUGUCUUUACCUUAGCCACUCGUCGGCCCGUCAUGUCUUUAAUUUCGCCACUCGUCGGCCCGUCAUGUCUUUAAUUUAGCCACUCGUCGGCCCGUCAUGUCUUUACGUUCGCCACUCGUCGGCCAAUCAUGUCUUUACUUUCGCCACUCGUCGACAAUCAUGUCUUUACUUUCGCCUUGAAACAAUGUUAUUAAACAUCAUCAUUUAUACUCCAGUCGUUUCAAGGUACCUCACAACAAUCGUAAGCAUUACCUAUCAUUUCUUUCCCCAGUGAUACCUAUCCAUUUGUCUCCCAGUCAGUCUUUGCAUCAUCUUUACCUUCAUGCUUAUAUCAUAUUCAGUCAUAUUAUCACAUUCAUCAGCAUCACAUCUCUGGCGUUUCAAAUGGUCCAAAAUUGGCGUUUUUAUAUAUUUAAGUCUCUCCGACCCUUUGGUUUAAAAAGUUCUCUUUUAAAACCUUUGUGACGAAGAAACUUAAAUAGGGGCAUCUGUCAUACCCCAAUUUUGGACCGUUUAAAAUCUCUUGUCCGUAUUUUAAAAUGGUUCACGUUCCCUUUUUAUUCGUUUUUUUUACCAUUUAAAAUUCGGGUUUCUUGUCUUUAGUCAUUCAAAAAGUUUUUAUUUUUACAUUUUAAUCAACGUUCGCAUUUCACAACAAUUAAAAACCGUCUCACUUUCGUUUUUACGACGCAUAGUUUUUUUUAUCGUAACGAUCACGUCAAAAAAGAGAAGGCCUAAUCGCUUUUUUUUAAAAAAAAGGCGUCUUUUCUUAUUAAUCAUUUCAAUCGAAAUUUCGGCAGGGAGGAUACUUUGAAGUACCUCAUGUCAGAUUCCGAAGGGACUUUUUAUUUUUUUAUUAUUUUUUUUAUUUUUAUUUUAUUAUUAUUUUUUUAUUUGUCUUUUUUAGUUUGUUUAUUAUUGUUUUAUUUUAUUAUUUUUAUUUUUUUAUAAAAAAAAAACACAACAAAGAAAAGAAGAAGACAUACGUCUUCCCUUUCUUCUUUUUCUUUUGCUUUUCUUUUUCUUUUUCUUUUUAUUCAUUCUUUUUAUUUUUAUUUAUUUAUUUAUUUGUUAAGCCUUUGUCCCCAAGUCUCAGCUGCAGGGGCAUUUUGGUUUUUGUUUUGUACCAGAGCCAACCCUAGUUUGUCACUAUAAAAACCCUGUCAAUCAUUGGGAAAUGGGCCAGAAGUCACUGUUCACGUCAAAAAAUCAGCAGCAAUUCACAAACACUCAUUUUCUACUUUUCCAACCCUUUUUCAGAUCAAACACUAAAAAUUACAAAGAAAUAACAUGAACACAUGAAGAACAUUCAUAUAUUCAUCAAAAUCCAGCAAUACCAAAACUUUACUAAAACCUCAAAACUAUUCAUAUAACCACACAAAUCACAAACAAGCAACCACAACACAACCGGACCGGAGCAACAACAACACAACCGGACCAGAGCAACAACAACACAACCGGACCGGAGCAACAACAACACAACCGAACCAGAACAGCAAGCAGGCCGAACCGGAGCAGAAAGCGGAACCGGACCGUAAGGGAGCAGAAACGAACCGGAAGGAAAGAAGGGGACCGGAAAAAGAGGUAAAAAUUUCACAUUUUCAUUUGUAGAUCUAGGAUUUUUGGUGUAUGGUUUCGAAAUUUUGAGCUUGGAUUCGAGUAGAGGAGGGGAAGAGGAGUAUUUUGAUGUAAAAAAUUUUCGAAAAAAGCAAAAAAAAACUCCGGCGCGGCGGCGCUCCGGCCGGCCACCACGCCGGAGUUGCUCCGGCCGCCCCUCCCCCACCUUCUUCUCCGGCGAGAUUCCUAGAGAGAAGUGGGAGCUUCUCUCUCUAGGUUUUUAGAAAGAGGUUUUUUUUGUGAUUUGUGUUAUGUUUUUUUGUUAAAACUCUUUUAUAGUGUUUCUUUUUUUGGUUUGAUCUUGUGCACAUGCGCAUACUGCAAUUCAGUGCUCCAUCGCGUUACACCCCUUGGAUCUGGAUCAUUCCUUGAUCUGAGGGCUCCUGUGUAUCUUGAUUUUGGAUCAAGUGGAUUUUCUUUCUGCGUGAGUAUGGUGUGGUUUCUGUUUGGACCAUCAGAUCGUUGAUCUGACGGUCACUGUGUUUUCAGUAUAAUCCCUUUGUUUCUAUGUUGUUUUUGUGACCGUUGGAUCUUAGAUCCUAUGGCUAUGAUGAAUCCAGGGGUUUGAACUUGGACCAUUGAUUUAAUCCAAUGAUCCAGAAUUAAUCCUGCUGAGCCAUUUGUUUAUUAUUUUUAUUUGUUAUUGUUUUUACUUUUUAAAUGCUG
rnacentral:lncRNA from 1 species